GAAAAACGACUCUCGGCAACGGAUAUCUCGGCUCUCGCAUCGAUGAAGAACGUAGCGAAAUGCGAUACUUGGUGUGAAUUGCAGAAUCCCGUGAACCAUCGAGUCUUUGAACGCAAGUUGCGCCCGAAGCCAUCAGCGCGAGGGCACGNCUGCCUGGGCGUCACGCAU
rnacentral:rRNA from 1 species